rnacentral:rRNA from 1 species
UACGAAGGGGGCUAGCGUUGUUCGGAAUUACUGGGCGUAAAGCGCACGUAGGCGGCUUCGCAAGUCAGAGGUGAAAGCCCGGGGCUCAACCCCGGAACUGCCUUUGAGACUGCGUCGCUCGAAUCCGGGAGAGGCGGGUGGAAUUCCCAGUGUAGAGGUGAAAUUCGUAGAUAUUGGGAAGAACACCAGUGGCGAAGGCGGCCAGCUGGACCGGCAUUGACGCUGAGGUGCGAAAGCGUGGGGAGCAAACAGG